AUACGUAGGGGGCAAGCGUUGUCCGGAUUUAUUGGGCGUAAAGCGUCCGUAGGCGGUUUAUCAGGUCAAGUGUGAAAUCUCACGGCUCAACCGUGGAACUGCACUUGAAACCGGUAGACUAGAGUCUAGUAGGGGGAGACGGAAUUCCAGGUGUAGCGGUGAAAUGCGUAGAUAUCUGGAAGAACACCAGUAGCGAAGGCGGUCUCCUGGGCUAUGACUGACGCUGAGGGACGAAAGCUAGGGGAGCAAACAGGAUUAGAAACCCCAGUAGUCC
rnacentral:rRNA from 1 species